UAAGUUGGCCAAGUCCAGAGGCAGGGUUCAAGCAGUUCUGUACCCUGAUAUUAAGAAAAGAUGAUUUGAAGAAGACGAUAUUUCGAUAUUGAAUUGUUCUACACUUGCAGGUAAGGUCACAACUCUCUGUGUCUACCCAUAUUGUGUGUGUGUGUGUAUAUAUAUACAUCAGAAACAGAUGCUUAAAAGCUUUAAAAUCUAGAUAUUCGAGUUGUCUGAAUCUAGUUUCUAUUAUAUUUUCAAAGAGAACAACUACAAAAUGGAAAAAUGUGAGAAUUCAAGAAGCCAUGUACAAUAUUAUGGGAGUAACUGAUCCAAAUCUUGUUCCACCACCAUUUACAAUUUGAUCAAGUUCACCAAGCUAUAAAUAAAUAACAAAGUAAUGAAAACAAAGAAGAAAGUCAUCUCACAGUAUAAUCUCUGUUCGACUUUAUUCAACCGCUACACACACAUGAAUAAUCAUAGGGAGAAUGGUUUUGUAUACACAUCAAAUGGCUGGCAGGCUGUCAAUUGUGGCUCCUGUUACCAAACAAAUAAACAGAAGAACAUUUAAGUUGAUGAUCAUUAACUCUGCUUUUAUGAACAAAAUUUCAAAACUACAAAGAAAUUUGAAUCUGCUCGUGCAGAUUCCAUGAGCUUGUCAUAAAAAACUAUGGUACAAUACACACUCCUGUCUUCAAGUAUUGGACAUGAAAAAUGUUUUUGCAUAUCCCAAAUAAUUCUGGAGGUCACCUUACUGGUCAAAAACAACCAAAACCCAUAACCCCCCACCCCUCCUUAUUAGCAUCCAAUGAUCAAGGAAACACCAUAUCCUCAUUUAAAUCCUUGGCAGACAUGUAACCACCUAUUUUUGGCCCCUUGUUCUUUAGAUACUUUCAACUCCAAGCAAAUUACUCCUUUGUACUCAGACCUCGUUUAAUGUUUGCAGCUAAAUGCCUAGUAUUUUGGGCAUCAAAAAAGCAAUUUUAGGAGUGUUUUAGCCACUCAAAGCUGCUUUCUUACCACACCAACACAAAAUGGGUCUGGAGAAGUGCAUUUUUCUUUUUGGGCAAAGCUUGAAACUUGAGUUCAAUUUCUUUUGCACUGGAUGUUAGAGCACUUAAAGGGUUUCUCUCAACAGAAUAUAUGCCUGAAAAACUUCUCAAAUGAAGAUUUUUCCAGGAAAACAUGUUAUUCCUAUUACUCCAUCCAUUGCAAUCAAAGAAGAGUCCUAACCCAAAUGCUUGCCAAUUAUAGUACAGAAUAUCUGCCCAAACCAACAGGAUUAGUUUCAAUUGAGGAUAAGAGGACACCAGAGUCAGCAUUGACUCUCCCACAGAACAGAACUGUUUUGUGGUUCAUCAUGAUGGUUGAACACCCAUCACAAUAAUUAUGUCCCUAUUACAAUAUGCACACAGAAUUUUUUAAAACCUUAAAAGGCCCUCUUCGUUUCCUUCUCUGUCUAAUUUCACAAGCAGGUGCAGCUCUGAUCAACAAAGAAGUCCUCUGUGGCUUAAAUUUUCUGAUUAUCCAGAUUCCAUGAAGAUCCAAAGCUAGGACUCUGAUGGGAAAAAAAAUAGUUUCCGCAUUUAUUCUUUGAAGAAUGCUAUCAUGAUUUUUUCUUCAUUUAUUUGUCUUUUGAGAUCUUCUCAUUUAGAGAUGACAUAGAAAGACUUUGUACUUAACAUUAGCUUGUUGAUGAUUUGUUGAAAAAUUAUAAACAUUGAAGUGCAUCUAAUUUAUUAGUCUUGAAAGAAUUCAGGAAAUGAUGGUAAAUGUAGAUUCCACAGGGCUUUUUGAUAUAUGUAGAUCAUUGGACGCAUCAGGAAAUCCCUUUACUGAACUUCUGAUGAAAAAGCCUUUUUUAUUGUUCUCUAUUUUUGGAGUUUCAGUUUUUAUUAGGAAUAGUAAAUGUAGACAGCUUCCCAUGGAUCUUUAAUACAAGGUAGAUCAUUCAAGUUAUUCAACAUAAAGAGAAUUUCUUUGUUGGAUAGUAUUGGAUGUAUCAUAUCCAUAUUGUCUAGUAGGAUCAUAAGCUACAAUAGCAGCAUGACAUUUUAGAACAGAUCGCGUGUAAUAUAUGUAGUGUUAUAGGUAUUCUUCAAGUUCACUGUGGUCUUAAUUUUUAUGGUUUUUGUAUGACAUUUUUUGUGGGAUUUUAUUUUAUUUAUUAAUUUUGUUCUACUCUUUGCAUAUCUUUCAUUUUACCUAAAACCCAAUUGUACUAUCGAUGCCAAGCUGACCAAUAUUGAAAUGAAACAUGGUCUGAAUCCAACAUUUUUAACUGUGUUCUUAAUUUUUUAAAAUUUUCAAUACCCUUCUUGAAUUUUAGCAAUGCUAAUCUAUAUUUAAGCUUUGAUAGGAACCUAGUUAUAGCACCAAUUCCAAUUUAACUAAUACCAAAUAAAACCUAGUCUGAAGCACAGUAUCUCCCAAAGCCCAAUAGAAGCAUCUUAUGGGCAGUACUUUUCACAAAAGUACUUCAUUAGGAGGUCCAAUCAUGCCUAUUGAUGCAGGAAACUUAGACUUCAAGCACUACAAAGCUUCUUGAGUUGAAAUGAAAGGGCUAAAGAUGGAUGAAAAGAAGAAAAGAAAUCCUUGGCAAUCACGCCAAGGUUCCUAAGUAAUCAUACCUAGAAAGAAGCAAUCACAAAUUCAAUGGAAGUAUAAUAGAUGGUGAGAACUUUUAUUAAAAGUUUGGUCAUAUCCUUUGAAAGACUAUAUAAGGUAUGUGUAGGCCCUUAUGCCUCUCUUCCCUAACAGGACUACUUUCAUAAUUCCUUAUCUGAAUAGAAUUAAAUAAAGGAAUGUUAUUUCGGAACUAGAAGAAAUAAGGACUUUUCUACUAUAACAAGAAGAUUACAAGAAAUAGAAACUCAAUAAGAAGGUAAACCACUACCUAGAAUAGAAACUUAACAAAAGAUUCAACUUAAACUAACUACAGUAAGCCUCAAGAAGAACUUAAGUCAUCAUUGGUGCCCCAAAUUAAUGCUUGUGCAUUGGAACUGACCUUCCCCUUUUCUUGUAAGUCUUCAAAGAAUCUUUUCAAUAAUAUUUCCUAUCAUAUACAGGAUGAAUAUCCCUCACAUUGUCAUCAAUUGAUGCCACCUCUAUCAAAGCAUUUUAGUUUCAUCAAGUCAACUUAACAAAUUCUCUCAAACAACAAUAAGUGAAGGAAAUAAGAUAAUGGCGUAUUAGACAUGAUUUAGACCUUUCUGGUCAUUUUCAGCAUAAAUGAUGUGUAAGCAAUCCAUAUCCAGCACCCCUUAUCUAAAGCUGGGUAAUCCCCAGUUACCCAUUUUACACAAAGGACAAGGUUUUUUUUUUUUAAUCCAUAUUUUAUUUUAUUUUAUGUUCAGCAUGGUUCUCUAUCAAAAGGGCUGAAGGAACUGUAAAUCUGGGGAUCCUGAGAUGAUUUUAACCCUUUUAUAUGUGUCCUAACAUCAAUUGAUGAGCCAGAUCACAAAGGAUGACAAUAAUGUAAUCACCAUAAGAACCAAUACCUGUCUCAAGCCACCGCUGACACUGCCUCCAGUCAAAAGCAUCGAAAUGAGAGAUGUCACAGCACCACCACCACCACCACCACCAACGCCAUUUCCUGC
rnacentral:lncRNA from 1 species